rnacentral:rRNA from 1 species
UACAGAGGGUGCGAGCGUUGUCCGGAAUCACUGGGCGUAAAGGGCGCGUAGGCGGUUUUGUAAAGUCGGGGGUGAAAUGCUGCGGCUCAACCGCAGCGCUGCCUUCGAGACUGCAAGACUGGAGCACGGUAGAGGCGGAUGGAAUUCCCGGUGUAGCGGUGGAAUGCGUAGAGAUCGGGAAGAACACCAAUGGCGAAGGCAGUCCGCUGGGCCGUUGCUGACGCUGAGGCGCGACAGCGUGGGGAGCAAACGAGG